AACGAACGCUGGCGGCAUGCCUAACACAUGCCAGUCGAACGAGACCUCGGGUCUAGUGGCGCACGGGUGCGUAACGCGUGGGAACCUGCCCUUAGGUUCGGAAUAACUCCCCGAAAGGGGUGCUAAUACCGGAUAAUGUCUUCGGACCAAAGAUUUAUCGCCUUUGGAUGGGCCCGCGUUGGAUUAGCUAGUUGGUAGGGUAAAAGCCUACCAAGGCGACGAUCCAUAGCUGGUCUGAGAGGAUGAUCAGCCACACUGGGACUGAGACACGGCCCAGACUCCUACGGGAGGCAGCAGUGGGGAAUAUUGGACAAUGGGCGAAAGCCUGAUCCAGCAAUGCCGCGUGAGUGAUGAAGGCCUUAGGGUUGUAAAGCUCUUUUACCCGGGAUGAUAAUGACAGUACCGGGAGAAUAAGCUCCGGCUAACUCCGUG
rnacentral:rRNA from 1 species